UUUCCUCCUCGACACUCAUCACAAAACGCAGGAGGCUGCCAAAACACCAACGAAGACCAAACAACGAUCACCAGGGACGAGCCGUAACUAUGGCACCCAUGGUAACCGCCAAAUAACAAACGCGAAGUUAUAAAGGUCAAGUCUCGCUGCUGAUCAGCUCAAACCGUUCCUGGCGUUUGGUGAGAACAGACCUACAUAUUAUUUUCUCCGCGCUCUCCCUUUUUUCCCUUUCAGGUCCGCAUGGGUUCCUGCUUGGGAUGUUGCGUUGGGGGAAGGGAAUCCCGCCGACAUGGGCGGAAGGCCACUGCGGAAGUUGGCAUAGGCGACCGGAGUGUGGCCAAUGAGACCCCGUGGCAGAUGGUAACAAAACCGACUGACUAUGACGGACGCGACGAGGUGGUUCCGGAGCCGGAUCCACCAGAGUCGGAACAAAAAUACUUUUCUCUAGACACUUUGGAAAAUUCUGACUCUUCGGUGGAUCCGGUUCUGGAACCAUCGAAAAUUGACAAUUACCUAAAUGAAACUUUAGAACAUACCGCGGCGGUUCCACCGAUUGUGGAACCGUCUGCGGAGCAAAAUUGUUUUUCCUUUUCAGAUUCAAUGGGGUGGUUUCUGGGUGACGAAGCCGUGACGUUGAUUCCGGCGGUGGUGAUUCCGAUGCCGGAUUCGCCGGAUGCCGGUUUCGAUACGGAUCCGGAACCGGAAUCACCUAUUUCGAACCCAGAACCACCGGCACACAUUGAAACCGUUUCCCAAAAUUUAAGUUUUUCGGUAUUUCAUUCUAAAUUUGACAUUUCAGGCUCUUGUCAAAAUUCAGGUUCGGCUGCUUUGCCAUGGUUGCUUCGAUCGGAGCAUUCAAAAUUUGUCAGUUUGAUACUUUUUCUGCUUUGCGGCAUGACGUGUGCGCUUUGCGUUGCUGUUGCGUAUUUUUAUUGGUUUUACUGUUUGCGUUUAAUAUUUUCUGUUCUUGAUUAAUCGUUUAUGUUCUUGUUUUUAUUUUCAUGAGAGGUUCCCUGUUACUGGCGUUACUGAAGUUUGGAAAUUUUCGAUUUGACUGUGGAUGAAUUUGGAGAAACCUGGGAAAAAUUAUAUCGUGAAAAGAUGAGAGAUGACCCCUUCUUGGACCUGGGAUUAAAAUAUAUAUAACUAUCGGUUGGCUUGGCGAGGACCCAAAUUUCGGGGUGUGCGUUGUACGGUCGAUGCUGCUGUUAGCCGGAUGCCGGAGCUGAAGCAUUAGUUUUAGUUAAUGAAAUGUAUGAUUGAAUUGUAAUAUAUGAUUUCAUUCUUUUGAAUAUAUGUUUUUA